rnacentral:rRNA from 1 species
AACGCAUCCCGCUGAAUUGAAGUGCUUGCACUGAUUUUCAGCAUUGGAUGAGUGGCGAACUGGUGAGUAACACGUGGGUAACCUGCCCAGAAGCAGGGGAUAACACUUGGAAACAGGUGCUAAUACCGUAUAACAACUGAAACCGCGUGGUUUCAGUUUGAAAGAUGGUUUCGGCUAUCACUUCUGGAUGGACCCGCGGCGUAUUAGCUAGUUGGUGGAGUAAUGGUUCACCAAGGCAAUGAUACGUAGCCGACCUGAGAGGGUAAUCGGCCACAUUGGGACUGAGACACGGCCCAAACUCCUACGGGAGGCAGCAGUAGGGAAUCUUCCACAAUGGACGAAAGUCUGAUGGAGCAACGCCGCGUGAGUGAAGAAGGGUUUCGGCUCGUAAAACUCUGUUGUUGAAGAAGAACACAUCUGAGAGUAACUGUUCAGGUGUUGACGGUAUUUAACCAGAAAGCCACGGCUAACUACGUG